rnacentral:rRNA from 1 species
UAGGGAAUCUUCCACAAUGGACGCAAGUCUGAUGGAGCAACGCCGCGUGAGUGAAGAAGGUCUUCGGAUCGUAAAGCUCUGUUGUUGGUGAAGAAGGAUAGAGGCAGUAACUGGUCUUUAUUUGACGGUAAUCAACCAGAAAGUCACGGCUAACUACGUGCCAGCAGCCGCGGUAAUACGUAGGUGGCAAGCGUUGUCCGGAUUUAUUGGGCGUAAAGCGAGCGCAGGCGGAAUGAUAAGUCUGAUGUGAAAGCCCACGGCUCAACCGUGGAACUGCGUCGGAAACUGUCAUUCUUGAGUGCAGAAGAGGAGAGUGGAACUCCAUGUGUAGCGGUGGAAUGCGUAGAUAUAUGGAAGAACACCAGUGGCGAAGGCGGCUCUCUGGUCUGCAACUGACGCUGAGGCUCGAAAGCAUGGGUAGCGAACAGGAUUAGAUACCCUGGUAGUCCAUGCCGUAAACGAUGAGCGCUAGGUGUUGGGGACUUUCCGGUUCUCAGUGCCGCAGCAAACGCAUUAAGCGCUCCGCCUGGGGAGUACGA